AACUUUUGUCACACCCUUUGGCAGGUACUGCGGUGUACCAAUGUCUAUGUGCAUUAGCCCAGCCCCAAAGGUGUUCCAGUGUAAACCGAGCCAGACAGUAUGGAGAGUCCCAAGAGUCAAGACUGUUGCUGAUGUCAUUUUUAUGGUAAAGGAAAGAGAUUAAAAGAAAGAAGCAAUCCAGGACCAGGAGAGCAAGCUGUGACAAUUCCUAAACAGGUGCUGCAAGCAAAAUAUUACACUGAAUGCAGACAAGCUGAAGCAGAAGAGAGUAGAGAUUCCUUACCAUGGACAUCUGUUGACUUCGGAGGGACUCUGUAUCCUGGGAAACUGAGACUCAUUAAAGAAAUGCUCAGGUUUAGGGAUAUAAGGGUGCAUCAUUAAUGAAAAGUCAGCAGUCCAGAGCAUUGGCUAGUAGAGCCCUGACAGACACAAAGAGGGAAUAUACUCAUAUAGAAAAGGAGCUGCUGGCUGUGCUCUUUGGAAUGAAUGGACUCCAUCACUUCACCUUUUGGCACUAGGUGGGCAGGCAAUUUAUUCACAACCCAUUAGAAAGUGUCAUGAAGAAGCUAUUGCUGAUUGCACCCAAGUGACUGUAACACAUGUUGCUGAGAUUCCAGCAUCAUGAAGUGAGGAUAUGGUACUGCUCAGGAAACUCACUUCUGGUGGCAGAUACACUGCUAAUGGUUAUACUUUCCAAAGUACAACACAGAUGGCUCAAUGGAACAGGAAGGAGAUCCUAUCAACAUGCUACAAUACCUUUAUACCUCCAAUGGGAGGCUCCAGGCAAUCCAACAAAACACUAAACAGUUUGAGGGUGCUACUGUCAUUAAAAUUACUCCAGGGUUGUCCAGCUUUCCUGGAGCAACAGCCACAGAAGAUGUCCCCCUGCUAUCAAAGGGAGAGGUGACCUUGGGGAAGGUGGCAGUUUCUCAUCUUGUAAAAAGUUUUAUCAAUCAUAUGGAGUAUUUCAUUCUUCUGGCAUGAAGCUGAGAAAUCCAACACAGUAAAAUGCAACUGAAAAUCAGGGUACAUUCUCUCUGGCCCUGGUAGAACUGUGUGGAGCAGGAGCUCCCACAUCACUGCUCCCAACAGAUCUCUCUGAAUCACAGAGAGUUAAAUGCACAACGGAGAAAAAUGGGACACAAUAUGAAUAUUAAUAGCUUGGCUGUUGAUCUUGGAGCUGGCAGAGCUGUUGUAUCUGGGCAGCUGCCAGAUCUGAUCAUUCAGAAUAUGAAUCUAGUUUGAGAGAAAGGGGGAAAAAACCCACCAGAGAAUCUAGUAGAAAGCACAACAAGUAUGUUUUGUUGGUAGUAAAGUAAUUUAUUUAUCCCCAAGCCUACAAUUUAGCAAAGUGAAUUUUGAGAAGAUUGGAGGAAAAAUAUGAGUUGCCCAGAAAUGUUAGGUCAAGUUGGUUGAAUCUAUUGGAAGUAGGUUUACAGAAGUAAUUGAAGAUGAGAAGAGCACAACCUCAGUGAAAGCUUUCCUUUGUUCUCUUUCUCGUUGUGGUGUUGAAUAAAGAGCGAGAUGCUGGAGAAAAAAAUUCAGUGAAUUUUCACACUACUUUUGUGUGAAUUAAUUUGGUGUGUUUUUUUGUUUUGCAUGAGUGAAGAGAAUUGAACUGUGAACCAAAAUGUUGUGUAACUUUCAUCUGUCCCUUCUUCAAUCUGUUGGACUAGAAAGUACUGAAGUCACUCACUGCAGUAAGUGUUUGUGCUAAUACCCUCUUAACUCAAUGUGUUGCUGUUGCCAUGGUUACAGAACAAUGGCAGGCCCAACUAAAGCAGACUACUGACAUUAAAGUGGAGUUUCCUUAGCAGAACUAGGGAUGAAAGGUGAGCAGCCAAUAUAGUCAUUGAACAUUCAAGUGAGAUGAAAAGCAACUAGCUUGCUGGCAAGAGCUGGAGAAGACGUAAAUGUAAGAUGGGACGUAUGAAUGUAGACAUCAAGUAUUUAAUGGCUGGCCAUUCUGCUGAAACUUAAAAAGCCAACAAAAUGCAAUGAAUAUUGAUGUUACAUGAGAUCAGCAAAUCCAACAAUAUUUGAAUUUUGGGUCAAUAUUGUUUCUAGAGCUGGAUAGGAAAUAGUUUUCCAGUUCCACAAAAAAUUU